AACGAACGCUGGCGGCAUGCCUAACACAUGCAAGUCGAACGAGGGCUUCGGCCCUAGUGGCGCACGGGUGAGUAACACGUGGGAACCUGCCUUUCGGUUCGGGAUAACGUCUGGAAACGGACGCUAACACCGGAUACGCCCUUCCAGCGAUGGUUGGGGAAAGUUUACGCCGAGAGAGGGGCCCGCGUCCGAUUAGGUAGUUGGUGGGGUAAUGGCCCACCAAGCCGACGAUCGGUAGCUGGUUUGAGAGGAUGAUCAGCCACACUGGGACUGAGACACGGCCCAGACUCCUACGGGAGGCAGCAGUAGGGAAUAUUGGACAAUGGGGGCAACCCUGAUCCAGCAAUGCCGCGUGAGUGAUGAAGGCCUUAGGGUUGUAAAGCUCUUUCGCACGCGACGAUGAUGACGGUAGCGUGAGAAGAAGCCCCGGCUAACUUCGUGCCAGCAGCCGCCGCGGUAA
rnacentral:rRNA from 1 species